rnacentral:rRNA from 1 species
ACGACUCUCGGCAACGGAUAUCUCGGCUCUCGCAUCGAUGAAGAACGUAGCGAAAUGCGAUACUUGGUGUGAAUUGCAGAAUCCCGUGAACCAUCGAGUCUUUGAACGCAAGUUGCGCCCCAAGCCUUCAGGCCGAGGGCACGUCUGCCUGGGUGUCACAAAUCGUCGUCCCCAUCCUUUGCGGGUAA